rnacentral:rRNA from 1 species
AGCGAACGCUGGCGGCAGGCCUAACACAUGCAAGUCGAACGCCUGUAGCAAUACAGGAGUGGCAGACGGGUGAGUAACACGUGGGAACGUGCCCUUCGGUUCGGAAUAACUCAGGGAAACUUGGGCUAAUACCGGAUACGUCCGCGAGGAGAAAGAUUCAUCGCCGAAGGAUCGGCCCGCGUCCGAUUAGCUAGUUGGUGGGGUAAUGGCUCACCAAGGCGACGAUCGGUAGCUGGUCUGAGAGGAUGAUCAGCCACACUGGGACUGAGACACGGCCCAGACUCCUACGGGAGGCAGCAGUGGGGAAUAUUGGACAAUGGGCGCAAGCCUGAUCCAGCCAUGCCGCGUGGGUGAUGAAGGCCCUAGGGUUAUAAAGCCCUUUCGGCGGGGAAGAUAAUGACGGUACCCGCAGAAGAAGCCCCGGCUAACUUCGUGCCAGCAGCCGCCGUAAGAC